UCACGAAAAAAAUGGUAGUCCGUUGAA
rnacentral:sRNA from 1 species